rnacentral:rRNA from 1 species
UACGUAGGGGGCUAGCGUUGUCCGGAAUCAUUGGGCGUAAAGCGCGUGUAGGCGGCUUUGUAAGUUAGAGGUGAAAGCCUGGAGCUCAACUCCAGAAUUGCCUUUAAGACUGCAUCGCUCGAAUCCGGGAGAGGUGAGUGGAAUUCCGAGUGUAGAGGUGAAAUUCGUAGAUAUUCGGAAGAACACCAGUGGCGAAGGCGGCUCACUGGACCGGCAUUGACGCUGAGGUGCGAAAGCGUGGGGAGCAAACAGG